rnacentral:rRNA from 1 species
AAUGAACGUUGGCGGCGUGGAUUAGGCAUGCAAGUCGAGCGAGAAUCGUAGCAAUACGAGGACAGCGGCGCAAGGGACAGUAAUGUGUAGAUCAUCUACCCUCGGGUUCGGGAUAGCUGCGGGAAACUGCAGGUAAUACCGAAUGACAUCUCCGGAUCAAAGGUGAGAUUCCGCCCGUGGAUGAGUCUGCAUCCUAUUAGCUUGUUGGUGGGGUAACGGCCUACCAAGGCAAUGAUGGGUAGCAGGUGUGAGAGCACGACCUGCGUCAUUGGGACUGAGACACUGCCCAGACACCUACGGGUGGCUGCAGUCGAGAAUCUUCGGCAAUGGGCGCAAGCCUGACCGAGCGAUGCCGCGUGCGGGAUGAAGGCCUUCGGGUUGUAAACCGCUGUCGAGGGGGAGCAACUUCCAUAGAGUUAUCUUUAUGGAUUGAGUGAUCCCUGGAGGAAGGACGGGCUAAGUUCGUGCCAGCCGCCGCAGUAAGAC